UGAGCAAUCUGCCCUUCUCAUCGGAAUAAGCGUUGGAAACGACGUCUAAUGCCGAAUACGACCUCCAUUCGCAUGAUCGGAGGUGGAAGGCUCCGGCGGAGAAGGAUGAGCUCGCGGCCUAUCAGCUAGUUGGUGUGGGUAAUGGCCCACCAAGGCGACGACGGGUAGCCGGCCUGAGAGGGUGACCGGCCACACUGGUGACUGGAACGACCGACCGGCCCAGACCUCGUACGGGGACGG
rnacentral:rRNA from 1 species